UGAACGCUGGCGGCAUGCCUUACACAUGCAAGUCGAACGGCAGCACGGGUGCUUGCACCUGGUGGCGAGUGGCGAACGGGUGAGUAAUACAUCGGAACGUGUCCUGUAGUGGGGGAUAGCCCGGCGAAAGCCGGAUUAAUACCGCAUACGAUCUACGGAUGAAAGCGGGGGACCGAAAGACCUCGCGCUAUAGGGGCGGCCGAUGGCGGAUUAGCUAGUUGGUGGGGUAAAGGCCUACCAAGGCGACGAUCCGUAGCUGGUCUGAGAGGACGACCAGCCACACUGGGACUGAGACACGGCCCAGACUCCUACGGGAGGCAGCAGUGGGGAAUUUUGGACAAUGGGCGAAAGCCUGAUCCAGCAAUGCCGCGUGUGUGAAGAAGGCCUUCGGGUUGUAAAGCACUUUUGUCCGGAAAGAAAUCCUGAUGGCUAAUAUCCGUCG
rnacentral:rRNA from 1 species